GAAUAGGUGAACAGGAUCUGAAAAUGAUCCAGAUCCUGCAGGCUGCACACCCAGGGGUCCUUAUCAACAACGAAAUCAUAGAGCCCAACCCACAGCACGUGGCCGCCUACAAAGAGCUGGUUAAUCGAGCUCCAGAUCUGCAGGGGGUCUCUUUUACUUGGCACCAGCUUACUUCCUCAGAGUAUGAACAACAGGUGAAAGAGAAAAACACACACAAGAAGUUCGACUUCAUCCAUAUGAUUCAGAUGCUGUACCGUGUGGAAGAUAUUCCUAACACCAUCAAGUUUUUCCACAGCUGCCUCAACCAUCAGGGCAAACUCCUGAUCAUAAUUCUG
rnacentral:lncRNA from 1 species